UGGGGAAUAUUGCGCAAUGGGCGGAAGCCUGACGCAGCGACGCCGCGUGGGGGAUGACGGCCUUCGGGUUGUAAACCUCUUUCGACAGGGACGAAGCGUGAGUGACGGUACCUGUAGAAGAAGCACCGGCCAACUACGUGCCAGCAGCCGCGGUAACACGUAGGGUGCGAGCGUUGUCCGGAAUUAUUGGGCGUAAAGAGCUCGUAGGCGGUGUGUCGCGUCGGCCGUGAAAACCUGCAGCUUAACUGUGGGCUUGCGGUCGAUACGGGCAUCACUGGAGUUCGGCAGGGGAGACUGGAAUUCCUGGUGUAGCGGUGAAAUGCGCAGAUAUCAGGAGGAACACCGGUGGCGAAGGCGGGUCUCUGGGCCGAUACUGACGCUGAGGAGCGAAAGCGUGGGGAGCGAACAG
rnacentral:rRNA from 1 species